GUUUCUUGUCUCACCCUCUAGUCCACACUCUGCCUAACACUACGCCCUACCUCACAUUCCUAUUGACAUCUGCUGCAGAUCACACCCUUGUGAUGGACAAACUGCUCAGUACAGUCCCACCCACCCAGCCUCCUUGUCCUGGGCACGAGGUUUUUGCCUCCCUGAUUUGGAGUAUUUGGCCCUUACUAGAGAGCUGCCAGAUGAGAACUCAGAGGCUCCUCCCGGCUCACCUGCAUCCUCAAAUACGCCUUCUGUCCAGUCCUAAUCUCCAGCCCAUCGACCUCCGCUGGAGGAAUGGGGGCCAGUGCUGGAAGGCCUGCAUGUUGGUCACCCAGUUUGCAGUCCACGUAGAGAUGUAGGGCAGGGCUGGGUCUGGAGGGACCUCGGAGUCGCAGGAGAACUGUGUGUGUGCGCCCAUCAGCCAGGCCCGCUUGCUGUAGGUUCACGGCGUGGACUUUGCCAUCCUCCCGCUGGUAU
rnacentral:lncRNA from 1 species